rnacentral:rRNA from 1 species
UGUGAGCUCGAUGAGUAGGGCGGGACACGUGGUAUCCUGUCUGAAUAUGGGGGGACCAUCCUCCAAGGCUAAAUACUCCUGACUGACCGAUAGUGAACCAGUACCGUGAGGGAAAGGCGAAAAGAACCCCGGCGAGGGGAGUGAAAAAGAACCUGAAACCGUGUACGUACAAGCAGUGGGAGCACCCUUUGGGGUGUGACUGCGUACCUUUUGUAUAAUGGGUCAGCGACUUAUAUUCUGUAGCAAGGUUAACCGAAUAGGGGAGCCGGAGGGAAACCGAGUCUUAAUUGGGCGUUAAGUUGCAGGGUAUAGACCCGAAACCCGGUGAUCUAGCCAUGGGCAGGUUGAAGGUUGGGUAACACUAACUGGAGGACCGAACCGACUAAUGUUGAAAAAUUAGCGGAUGACCUGUGGCUGGGGGUGAAAGGCCAAUCAAACCGGGAGAUAGCUGGUUCUCCCCGAAAGCUAUUUAGGUAGCGCCUCGUGAAUUCAUCUCCGGGGGUAGAGCACUGUUUCGGCUAGGGGGCCAUCCCGGCUUACCAACCCGAUGCAAACUGCGAAUACCGGAGAAUGUUAUCACGGGAGACACACGGCGGGUGCUAACGUCCGUCGUGAAGAGGGAAACAACCCAGACCGCCAGCUAAGGUCCCAAAGUCAUGGUUAAGUGGGAAACGAUGUGGGAAGGCCCAGACAGCCAGGAUGUUGGCUUAGAAGCAGCCAUCAUUUAAAGAAAGCGUAAUAGCUCACUGGUCGAGUCGGCCUGCGCGGAAGAUGUAACGGGGCUAAACCAUGCACCGAAGCUGCGGCAGCGA